AUAGUACUGCAGGACCAUUCUGUUCUCAGGAUAUGAAUUUUUAGGUAUUUGUGGAAGCCCACUCACCCAAAAGGGAGUGGGCUUGUGUUUCAAAGUAUAGCCCUCUGGGCCUAUACUAAAGACAAAAAGACUCUCUUUCAAACCGUGACUGUCAAAUCUGGCUUACUGAUAUUUGCUUUGAAUUUGUAUGUUAUUUCUGAAAUACCGUCUCUCACAGGACACAGAAUAUGCUGCAAAGAAUUUGCUUCAUGCCAAGACAUAGUGCCUCCACGCAGAAACCCUGAGAAACAAAAGAAUGAGAACCUUGUCUCUGGGGUCAAUAAAUCUAAGCUUUGUUGGCACCAAAUGGGACACUCCAGUGAUUCUCAAGCAAGCUAGCUUGGGCUUCAUCACAUUGACAAAGGAUAGAGACCCAAGAGAGAUAGAUGACUGCAAAGACCUCUCGAGGCCUCAGCUCAGAACAUGCAAUCAUCACUUCCAUCAAAUUCUACUGGCAAAGCAAGUCACAAAGCCAGUCCAAAUUUAUAGGUGGGGAAAUGGACUUCACCUCCUGACAAGAGAAGAUGCAAAGUCACUUUGAAAAAGGUAUUAAUGGCCAGGAGCGGUGGCUCAUGCCUGUAAUCCCAGCACUUUGGGAGGCUGAGGUGGGUGGAUCACCUGAAGUCGGGAGUUUGAGACCAGCCUGACCAACAUGGAGAAACCCCGUCUCUACUAAAAAUACAAAAAUUAGCCAGGUGUGGUGACACAUGUCUGUAAUCCCAGCUACUCUGGAGGCUUAGGCAGGAGAAUCGCUUGAACCUGGGAGGCAGAGGUUGCAGUGAGUCGAGAUCACAUCAUUGCACUCCAGCCUGGGCAACAAGAGUGAAACUCCAUCUCAAAAAAAAAAGGUAUUAAUGCAGAGAGGGGUGGAUAAUAAGGAGCAUUUUUGCAAUAUACCAUAGUACCAUAUUUUCUCAUUUUAAAUGUCCUCUACCAUAAUGAUGUAACAGAAUCAAAAAGCUUGUCUGCCCCUCUGGGUACCAGCCCAACAACUGUUUUUGGUUUUGGUUUUUAAUUUUUUCUGUUCUAUACACAAAAGUUAUUAGAAUUCUCAGGAGACUUCUAGAAUAACAACAAAAAAACUGGGAAUCAUUGUUGAGUGUAGCCUGACCUCUUAUGCAGGAACAAAAUACACUGGACUGUAGCUAAUGAUUUCUUUUGGAAGUCACUUAGAUAGCUCAACUAAAGCUAUAAUGUUCCACCAAGGAACAGUUUUCAAGUUCGUACAUUUUAUGCAUGCUUAUUAAACAUAUUUUAUUCAUGUACAUAUAUAUAUAAGUAACCAUAUUCAGUACAACAGCACAAAUAUAUAAUCAAUAUAAAAGCCAAAAAAAAUCAACAGAAAAUCAAUAUUUUGUGCUUGGCCAAAAUAACCAUUGAUAAGGUCCUGGAAUAAAGAAGAAUGCUUGGGUUCGAGAUACGCUUUAUUACUACAAAAAUACCAUUGAAGUUGGCAUCCAUAGGAAAAUAUCCAUGCCAGUUCCAAGGCUGGAAUAAUUAUUUUUCCAAAGAAAGUAUGCCUAAACAGUAAGAUUAGCAAGCCCAGCACAAUACCAAUAUACACAUUCUAGAGAAAACUCUUUACCCUGCUUCAUUCUGGAUCACGUCAUCAUCAUUUUUGAUAAAUACUCCAUUUAAUGUAAAAGAAAAAGACAGUGGAUAAUUUUUUUUGAGACCAGGUCUUGCUCUGUGGCCCAGUGUAGUGGCCUGAUCACAGGUCACUGCGAUCACAGGCUCAAGUGAUCCUCCAUCCUCAGCCUCCUGAGUAGUUGCUGGGACCACAGGCGCAAGCCACCGCACCCAGAUAAUUUUUAAAAGUUUUUAUUGUAGAGAUAAGGUCUCCUUACAUUGCCUAGGCUAUAAAUUUUAAAUCUGGAAGAGAUGAGGUCUGCUUAGAGAAGUGAUUGGCUUCUAAACACAAGCAGUAUUAAGAGGACACCUUCUAGAAGGAAUAAACUAACCCAGAAGAAGUAGCGAGAAUAAUAGUAUUUACAGGACAACCUCCAAAGCAAUGCCCAAAGUACCCAAAAUCAGGGAUCAAUUUACAAGUUUUGGGAAAGACUUUAAAGUAAUCUACAUUAGCCAGAACUAGGUACUUGCUUGGAUUCCUUCUACUAGACUUCUUGACCCAGAGUGGAGUAUUCACUGCCUCCUGGGUCAAUCCUUCUUUGCAAGCAUGAAUUGAAAUUAUGGUGUGGUGGAUUAAUUGCAAUAAAUGUCCAGUUUUUUCAUAGAUUCCUUUCUUGGUGCCCUGCCAUACUGAUUCUGGGCUUAGCCAUGUGACUUCUUUCAGCAGAUGGAACAGAAGCAAUUGUGACUCCAGCAGAGACUUGAAGAGCACUUGCACAUUGAAGAGUGUUCUCUUACUGCUCUUGGAUCCUGUCACCAUGUGAACAAGCCCAGGCUAGCCUACUAGAGAAUGAAAGACACACCACCAGUGACCCCCCACUUUCCCCAGUAUGCAAGUGAGGUCAUACAGAACCAGAACCAGCCAGGCCCCAGCUGACCCAUCAGCUAACCACAGACACAUGAGCAAACCCCGUUAAGCCCAGGCUAGGCCAGAAGAACCAUCCCCAUAAAACUGAGCUAAAUAAAUGGCUGUUACUUUAAACCAAUA
rnacentral:lncRNA from 1 species